rnacentral:lncRNA from 12 species
AGGGACUCUGACCUAGAGUGCCACUGGCUGCAUUUUAUUCUGCUGCUUCAACGUCUCUGAUUCAGCUUCCUCCUGUUAUAUGUAGCUUAGCUGGUAGCCUGUGGCUCCAAGCUGCUGUCAUUUGAUUUAACCACUCACAAAUCAGGUGAAAGUUAUGUCUCAUAUCUCUGAAGCUACUCUCACAGGAGCUCAGUUAAGAGGGAAGAGUUCUGGAACCUUUUGAAAGUUUCAACAGCUUGAUGGUGCUUUUCCUGGACUAUUUAACUACUGUCACAAAAUGUCUGACAUUUAUUACCUCACUGAAUUCAACUAAAGCCUAAGGAGGAAAUUGAUUUAGGAUGAAAACAGG